UUCAGCUUAGAUUCUGAAUAAUACACAACGGUGUUAGUUCUACAUAUGUAGAUAUUUGGCUUUGGCGUCGAAAAGCUUUGGAUAAAGUCGUGCCCCACGCAACUCUCCCGUUCAUGUAUUCAGCAUUGACUUUGGAGAUUCGCUAUUGAUGCUAUCGAAAAUCCAGUUCAUGUAAGAGCUGACAGCCGUAUAAACGCCCGGUACGGUGGUAACGCCGCAUAGAGUUGGUCCAAAGGCGACAAUCCCUAGCAGCGUAUAACGCCCAUCGGCGUUGAGUAUGCCGGAUGUGCCAUCGUCCAUGAAGGGACCGCCACUGUCGCCGCGACAAACAUCGUUCAUGGGCUGGCCCUGGGCGCACAGAUGGCUCGGCGUGAUGACAAUCGGCUGCUGGAAGUUCUCGCUGAGCGUGGCAUAGGUAAUUGCGCAACUGGUCGUAUUGACUAUGGGCAAUCUUAUGAACCUCACAGAGGCUGUGCUGGCUGGGCUGCUCGAAGUAUUAUCUGUAACGGAGUAGGCGAAUUAAUCAGUAUAUACAUAUGUCGUCUGCUAACUGUUUUCAUUCUAUUCCGUUUAUUUAAUAUUUUAACAACAUACUCUCCAUUUUUGUGCUCCAACCAGCCACCACGCCCAUUUGCCCGAUCAAUCUAUCUGCGAGAGCUGCUGUGCUGUUCAGAGAGCUAGCAAAAUGAGUAAAGGAUGCCCCUGUAAAAGUGCGUCCGACUUAAGUACUAGUUGCGCUUACUGUCCUCCGGGCAAGGUUCCAUAUGUUCAGAAUGAUAUUGGGAGCCAAGAUCAAACCUAUGGCGAUUCUGGAAGCUAUCAAAAUUACAAUCAAUACAACAACCCUCCCUAUAAUAAUAAUAAUCAAUAUAAUAAUCAAUAUCCAUACAAUAAUCAAUAUAAUAAUGGCCAAAAUAAUAAUUAUCCAUAUAACAAUCAAAACAAUAACUAUCCAUAUCCGUAUAAUAACAAUCAAUAUCCUGACAAUCAAUAUAACUACAGCCCGUAUGGGCCAGCUAGCGAGUAUUCCUAUGGAAGCAACAAGGGGGGCCAGUUUACAGACGAGCCGCAAGGAUUUGAACUUAGCGAAGGCGCGGUUUCACUUCUCAAGGCAGUUGCUGUUUUCUGCACUGGUUGUUUUCUCACCAUGAAGAUGACUGGUGUGGCAAACGAGCUGGGAUAAACUGUUUUUUAAACUGUUUUGUUUUGUUUUGUGCCUAAAUGUAUUCUAAUCCAAGGACGAGGACCAUCUCCGAAAAUACCACACACACUUACGAAUUUAUACACAAAUUUCAAUUGGAUGUCAUUAAAAAUUGUUGCGUUUAAAA